AUCUUUUUAGUAUAAAUAAUAUAUUUGACUUCCAAUCAAAAGACCUUGAUAUAAAGAAAAGAUA
rnacentral:tRNA from 1 species